rnacentral:snRNA from 1 species
GUGUAGACUAACUACCCACAUAUACUAAAAUUGGAACGAUACAGAGAAGAUUAGCAUGGCCCCUGCGAAAGGAUGACACGCAAAUUCGUGAAGCGUUCCAUAUUUUU